GUAGUCAUAUGCUUGUCUCAAAGAUUAAGCCAUGCAUGUCUAAGUAUAAGCAAUAUAUACCGUGAAACUGCGAAUGGCUCAUUAAAUCAGUUAUCGUUUAUUUGAUAGUACCUUACUACUUGGAUAACCGUGGUAAUUCUAGAGCUAAUACAUGCUAAAAACCCCGACUUCGGAAGGGGUGUAUUUAUUAGAUAAAAAACCAAUGCCCUUCGGGGCUCACUGGUGAUUCAUAAUAACUUAACGAAUCGCAUGGCCUUGUGCCGGCGAUGGUUCAUUCAAAUUUCUGCCCUAUCAACUUUCGAUGGUAUGGUCCUGGCUUACCAUGGUUUCAACGGGUAACGGGGAAUUAGGGUUCUAUUCCGGAGAGGGAGCCUGAGAAACGGCUACCACAUCCAAGGAAGGCAGCAGGCGCGCAAAUUACCCAAUCCUGAUACAGGGAGGUAGUGACAAUAAAUACUGAUACAGGGCUCUUUUGGGUCUUGUAAUUGGAAUGAGUACAAUUUAAAUCCCUUAACGAGGAACAAUUGGGGGGCAAGUCUGGUGCCAGUAGCC
rnacentral:rRNA from 1 species